AACUCUGAGUGGUGGAUCACUUGGCUUGUGCGUCAAUGAAGAAUGCAGCUAGCUGCGAAAACUAAUGUGAAUUGAAUGACAUAUUAAUCAUCGACACUUUGAAUGCACUUGGUGGCCCGGGUUACUCCCAGGGCUAUGCCUGCCUGAGGGUCG